UUUCCGUAGGUGAACCUGCGGAAGGAUCAUUACAGAGUUCAUGCCCUCACGGGUAGAUCUCCCACCCUUGAGUAUUUAUACCUUAGUUGCUUUGGCAGGCCGUGGAAACACCAUGGGCUCCGGCUUAUGCGUGCCUGCCAGAGGAAACAAACUCUGUUUUUAGUGAUGUCUGAGUACUAUAUAAUAGUUAAAACUUUCAACAACGGAUCUCUUGGUUCUG
rnacentral:misc_RNA from 1 species